GGGUCGUUGGCAGAGCGGAUAUGCAACUGCCUUUUAAGCAGACUUAUCCAGGUUCAACUCCUGGGCGACCCACCA
rnacentral:tRNA from 1 species